GACGAACGCUGGCGGCGUGCUUAACACAUGCAAGUCGAACGGAAAGGCCCUGCUUUUGUGGGGUGCUCGAGUGGCGAACGGGUGAGUAACACGUGAGUAACCUGCCCUUGACUUUGGGAUAACUUCAGGAAACUGGGGCUAAUACCGGAUAGGAGCUCCUGCUGCAUGGUGGGGGUUGGACAGUUUCGGCGGUUGGGGAUGGACUCGCGGCUUAUCAGCUUGUUGGUGGGGUAGUGGCUUACCAAGGCUUUGACGGGUAGCCGGCCUGAGAGGGUGACCGGCGACAUGGGGACUGAGAUACGGCGCAGACUCCUACGGGAGGCAGCAGUGGGGAAUAUUGCACAAUGGGCGGAAGCCUGAUGCAGCAACGCCGCGUGCGGGAUGACGGCCUUCGGGUUGUAAACCGCUUUCGCCUGUGACGAAGCGUGAGUGACGGUAAUGGGUAAAGAAGCACCGGCUAACUACGUG
rnacentral:rRNA from 1 species